rnacentral:rRNA from 1 species
CAGCUCAGUAACACGUGGACAACCUACCCUCAGGUCGGGGAUAAACCCGGGAAACUGGGUAUAAUACCCGAUAGAUCUCGACUGCUGGAAUGCAUCGAGAUCGAAAGCUCCGGCGCCUGAGGAUGGGUCUGCGGCCUAUCAGGUAGUAGUGGGUGUAGCGUACCUACUAGCCUACGACGGGUACGGGUUGUGAGAGCAAGAGCCCGGAGAUGGAUUCUGAGACACGAAUCCAGGCCCUACGGGGUGCAGCAGGCGCGAAAACUUUACAAUGCUGGAAACAGCGAUAAGGGGACCUCGAGUGCCAGGUUACAAAUCUGGCUGUCGUGAUGCCUAAAAAGCAUUGCAUAGCAAGGGCCGGGCAAGACCGGUGCCAGCCGCCGCGGUAACACCGGCGGCUCGAGUGGUAACCGUUAUUAUUGGGUCUAAAGGGUCUGUAGCCGGCCGGAUAAGUCUCUUGGGAAAUCCAGCAGCUCAACUGUUGGGCUUUCAGGAGAUACUGUCUGGCUCGAGGCCGGGAGAGGUGAGAGGUACUUCAGGGGUAGGGGUGAAAUCUUGUAAUCCUUGAAGGACCACCAGUGGCGAAGGCGUCUCACCAGAACGGACCUGACGGCAAGGGACGAAAGCUAGGGGCACGAACCGGAUUAGAUACCCGGGUAGUCCUAGCCGUAAACGAUACUCGCUAGGUGUCGGCCACGGUGCGACCGUUGUCGGUGCCGUAGGGAAGCCGUGAAGCGAGCCACCUGGGAAGUACGGCCGCAAGGCUGAAACUUAAGGAAUUGGCGGGGGAGCACA